AUUUUUUGUCACUUUCUACUUUACAUAUUUAGCCACAUUUCCCUCUCCUUUCGAACAAUUUCAACAAAAUGGAUGCGAAAAUCGGAAAAUUCUUCGAUUCAAUCGGCGAUUUCUUCACCGGCGGAGAUCAAAUUCCUUGGUGCGACUCUGAUAUAGUCGCUGGUUGUGAACGUGAAGUUGCUGAGGCAGGAAAAGGUUCCUCUGAUGAACUGAAAAAUGAAUGCAUCAUGCGUCUAUCAUGGGCUCUUGUUCACUCAAGACGUCCAGAAGAUGUACAACGUGGAAUAGCAAUGCUUGAAACUUCUCUGGGUGGCAGUAAUAGUCCCCUGCAAAUGAGGGAAAAGAUUUAUCUUCUGGCCGUUGGCUACUACAGAAGCGGGGACUAUGCAAGAAGCAGGCAGCUUGUUGAUCGUUGUUUGGAGAUUGAACCGGAGUGGAGACAGGCCUUGACCCUCCGGAAAACUGUUGAAGAUAAAAUUAAAAAAGAUGGAGUAAUUGGCAUUGGCAUUGCUGCUACUGCUGUAACUGCUGUUGGACUCCUGGCUGGUGGACUUGUAGCGGCUUUGUCUCGCAAGAAAUGAUCCAUCAGUAAAAUCACUAACAUGCAUAUGAUACUUCGUCACUCUGGUUCGUGUAUACAUCUGAGGCUAUCAACUCCUAUUCGCUAGCACUUAGUUUCGAUACUUAUCUUUCUUUGUUUGAAACACUGACAUACUGCAACUGAAGCAAAAUGAUGUAUGUUGGCUUUGCUUGACUUGAUUGUCUAGUUUAUAUGUGAAAAAACAACAGUGACUUGUCGAUGUUGUUGUUAAUCGUAGCAGAAAGUUA
rnacentral:misc_RNA from 1 species